AAAUGGGUGUCCAGGUUACCUGGCCGGCUUACCUGGAGUCGGAGCUCCGCCCCUUGGGGGAGAGUAGGGGAGAGUCCGCAGAGUAGGGAAUCUCUCCCCCUCACCACCUACCUACCCGUGGUCCUUGAAGAGGAAGACCUUCCACCCAAAACUGUGACCAAGAAAAACAAUUCACGGAUUGGAGGAGUAUUGGUGCCUCACAAAUAGUGGAACAUUAUCCUGAGACAUUUUGGGACCAGUGUAGUAUUUCACACAGGAAGCCAUCCUACUGACAUUCCAGGAGGACAUGAAGUGAUAUUUUCAGAGACCUGACGCCUCUAUACCAGGAAGCUUCAGCACUUUAUAGGUGUCAGCUUCUUAAAUCCUCACAACAUCCUGUAAAGUCCUCUCCAGGCCUGGUGCCAGCAGGCUCUUUUCCCCGGAUGUUGACAAUCAACCCUUCAAACAAGGUGAUUGCCAAACAGAAGAGGAACAUUUUCUAAUGCAUCCUCAAAGAAUGUCAAAUGCAGAAGUUUAGCAGAUUCAAGUAGACAAAACUAAGACAAAGAGAAAGCGUGUGCUUCAAAUUCUCUCAGCCUUUGAACCCCAGGAUUCCCGCCAGGAUCCUAUGGUUUUGAUUGGACUGCACCACCGGAUGAAGAUAUGAGC